GAGUGGUGCCUACGGGAGGCAGCAGUGAGGAAUAUUGGUCAAUGGGCGGGAGCCUGAACCAGCCAAGCCGCGUGAGGGAAGAAGGUACAGCGUAUCGUAAACCUCUUUUGUCAGGGAACAAAGGCGGGGACUAGUCCCCGGAUGAGGGUACCUGAAGAAAAAGCAUCGGCUAACUCCGUGCCAGCAGCCGCGGUAAUACGGAGGAUCCGAGCGUUAUCCGGAUUUAUUGGGUUUAAAGGGUGCGUAGGCGGCCUUUUAAGUCAGCGGUGAAAGUCUGUGGCUCAACCAUAGAAUUGCCGUUGAAACUGGGGGGCUUGAGUAUGUUUGAGGCAGGCGGAAUGCGUGGUGUAGCGGUGAAAUGCAUAGAUAUCACGCAGAACCCCGAUUGCGAAGGCAGCCUGCCAAGCCAUGACUGACGCUGAUGCACGAAAGCGUGGGGAUCAAACAGGAUUAGAUACCCUGGUAGUCCACGCAGUAAACGAUGAUCACUAGCUGUUUGCGAUACACUGUAAGCGGCACAGCGAAAGCGUUAAGUGAUCCACCUGGGGAGUACGCCGGCAACGGUGAAACUCAAAGGAAUUGACGGGGGCCCGCACAAGCGGAGGAACAUGUGGUUUAAUUCGAUGAUACGCGAGGAACCUUACCCGGGUUUGAACGCAUUCGGACCGAGGUGGAAACACCUUUUCUAGCAAUAGCCGUUUGCGAGGUGCUGCAUGGUUGUCGUCAGCUCGUGCCGUGAGGUGUCGGCUUAAGUGCCAUAACGAGCGCAACCCUUGCCACUAGUUACUAACAGGUGAUGCUGAGGACUCUGGUGGGACUGCCAGCGUAAGCUGCGAGGAAGGCGGGGAUGACGUCAAAUCAGCACGGCCCUUACAUCCGGGGCGACACACGUGUUACAAUGGCGUGGACAAAGGGAGGCCACCUGGCGACAGGGAGCGAAUCCCCAAACCACGUCUCAGUUCGGAUCGGAGUCUGCAACCCGACUCCGUGAAGCUGGAUUCGCUAGUAAUCGCGCAUCAGCCAUGGCGCGGUGAAUACGUUCCCGGGCCUUGUACACACCGCCCGUCAAGCCAUGGGAGCCGGGGGUACCUGAAGUCCGUAACCGCAAGGAUCGGCCUAGGGUAAAACUGGUGACUGGGGCUAAGUCGUAACAAGGUAGCCGUACCGGAAGGUGCGGCUG
rnacentral:rRNA from 1 species